GAUGAACGCUGGCGGCGUGCCUAAUACAUGCAAGUCGAGCGAACAGACGAGGAGCUUGCUCCUCUGACGUUAGCGGCGGACGGGUGAGUAACACGUGGAUAACCUACCUAUAAGACUGGGAUAACUUCGGGAAACCGGAGCUAAUACCGGAUAAUAUAUUGAACCGCAUGGUUCAAUAGUGAAAGACGGUUGUGCUGUCACUUAUAGAUGGAUCCGCGCCGCAUUAGCUAGUUGGUAAGGUAACGGCUUACCAAGGCAACGAUGCGUAGCCGACCUGAGAGGGUGAUCGGCCACACUGGAACUGAGACACGGUCCAGACUCCUACGGGAGGCAGCAGUAGGGAAUCUUCCGCAAUGGGCGAAAGCCUGACGGAGCAACGCCGCGUGCGUGAUGAAGGUCUUCGGAUCGUAAAACUCUGUUAUUAGGGAAGAACAAAUGUGUAAGUAACUAUGCACGUCUUGACGGUACCUAAUCAGAAAGCCACGGCUAACUACGUG
rnacentral:rRNA from 1 species